rnacentral:ncRNA from 1 species
UUGGGGUGCUCUUUGCACCUGACAAGCCAAGAGGGAAAGAGGUGUGAAUCCUCUGCAGACCCGCUGCUGUGAGUUCCGUAACAUGCUAUCAGUCAUGCUUUAUGCCACUGGCGAGGAGAAGCAUUUGCAAUGCUUGAAAAACCAACCUGGGAAGGCGACUGAUAGGGAACAAGCCAGAAGACCUGCCGUAUGUGGA